ACGAACGCUGGCGGCGUGCCUAACACAUGCAAGUCAAGGCGGUAGCAAUACCGACUGGCGCACGGGGUGGCGGAACACGUAGGUAAUCUGCCCUUUAGGGGAGAACAAACCAGCCGAAAAGGUUGGCUAAAUCUCCGUAACAUCGAGGUGUGGCCAUCACACCAUGAUCAAGCUUUCUAAAGGAUGAGCCUGCGUCUGAUUAGCUAGUUGGUAGUGUAAACGGACUACCAAGGCUACGAUCAGUAGCUGGUCUGAGAGGAUGAUCAGCCACAUUGGGACUGAGACAACGGCCCAGACUCCUACGGGAGGCAGCAGUGAGGAAUAUUGCUCAAAUGGACGAAAGUCUGAAGCAGCAAACGCCGCGUGAGGGAUGAAGGUGCUCUGCAUUGUAAAACACCAACCUCUGUAGUCGGAGACAAACGACGGGUUUACUACCCGUGUGAUGGUAUCCGAAAAGUAAGGAUCGGCUAACUACGUGCCAGCAGCCGCAGUAAUACGUAGGAUCCAAGCGUUGUCCGGAUUUACUGGGUGUAAAAGGGUGCGCGGGCGGACUGGUUAGUCUGGGGGUGAAAUCUCAUCGCUUAAAACGGUGAAACUGCCUUAGAUACUGCCAGUUCUUGGAUAAGCGAGAGGUUCGUGGAAUUCCGAGUGUAGCAGUGAAAUGUGUAGAUAUUCGGAAGAACACCAGUGGCGAAGGCAGCGAACUGGCGCUUUUAAAUUAUCGACGCUCAUGCACGAAAGCAUGGGGAUCAAACAGGAUUAGAUACCCUGGUAGUCCAUGCCCUAAACGAUGAUCACUUGGUGUCGGCCGCAAGGUCGGUGCCGGAGCUAAACGCGUUAUAAGUGAUCCACCUGGGGAGUACGCUUCGUAAGGGUGAAACUCAAAGGAAUUUGACGGGGGGCCCGCACAAGCAAGUGGAGCAUGUGGUUUCAAUUCGAUGCAAACGCGAAGAAACCUUACCUAGGCUUGAAAAGGUCGUCCUAAAACCCAUGAAAGUGGGGUACCCGCAAGGGGGGGCGAUACAGGUGCUGCAUGGCUGUCGGUCAGCCUCGUGCCGUGAGGUGUUUGGUUAAGUCCAGCCAACGAAGCGCAACCCCUGGGUCUAGUUGCCAGCACAUAAUGGUGGGAACUCUAGACCAACUGCCUACGCAAGUAGUGAGGAAGGUGGGGAUGACGUCAAGUCAUCAUGGCCCUUACGCCUAGGGCAACACACGUGCUACAAUGGCAACUACAACGCGCCUGCAAUAAUACCGCGAGGUGGAGCGAAUCGCUAAAAAAGUUGUCUCAGUUCGAAAUCGGAGUCUGCAACUCGACUCCGUGAAGUUUGGAAUUGCUAGUAAUCGGGGGUCAGCACACCCCCGGUGAAUACGUUUUCCCGGGCCUUGUACACACCCGCCCGUCAAGCCAUGAAAGCCGGGGGUACCCAAAAGCCGCCUCAUAAGCGUCUAAGGUUAAAACCGGUUGAUUGGGGCU
rnacentral:rRNA from 1 species